AUGAUGUGUGCUUGCUCUUGUCUUGUCUUUGCACUCAAGGCAGAAGAUGCAGUGAAGGACCUAAGGUACAGCCUGGAACAUAGGUGCCGGGACUCUCGGGAGGCCGGCGACGGCCCGCGCCACAGGUGGCAUCCGGGGCGGGGCCUGCGCGCCGUCGGGCGGCGGGGGCGUGGCCUGGGCUCCGCGGCGGGGGCCUGGCCCCUCCCCAGAUGCCUCCGCGCGCCCGCCGCCCUCCAGCGCGCCAGGCUUCCCGAGCGCCCAGUGCGCAGGCGCCGGCGGGGGGCUCCGAGCGUGCGCCGAGAUGGAGCGCGGUCGGAGCGCGCGGCGGCGGUUGCCCCGCGGACUGACGGGAGGUCGGGCCGCCCGCCGUGUCGCCCUGCGCCUGCUGAACUCCGAGCGCCCGAGGAUGUCAGCGCUGAGGAAGGUCUGUAUGAGCUGUUGGCUCUUGUGCCAGGCCAGCUGGGGCCACGUGUGGACAGCCAGGAAGACCUGACCUUCCUCUGGGAUAUGUUUGGUGAGAAAAUCCUGCAUUCACUGGUAAAGGGCGAAUUAGAAACUUCACUCAAGGUCCUGGGCUCUCGCUCCGAACGGACUUCUUGCCACUCAACCCUCACCCACUACAUUCCAACCAUUUCUACUUUGCACAUGAUGAUUGCUUCUACUCCAAACAUUCUCACUGUGGUCUUUUCCUUCCCCCUCGAUGGCACUCCCUCCUAGUCUCUGCCUGGCUGCUCCAAGUCAACAUUUCAGUUUUAAUGGAACCAUCUCUUCUGGGAAGGCAUAGCUCUUGUCUUAGAGCUUUUUGUGCUCUUUGAGUCAGCAUUAGAUUAGAUUAAAUUAGAUUUUCUUGCAAUUUCCUCUUGUACCCCAUAUUUCCCUAGUUUU
rnacentral:lncRNA from 12 species